AUUGAACGCUGGCGGCAGGCCUAACACAUGCAAGUCGAACGAGUGGCGGACGGGUGAGUAAUGUCUGGGAAACUGCCUGAUGGAGGGGGAUAACUACUGGAAACGGUAGCUAAUACCGCAUACCAUCGGAUGUGCCCAGAUGGGCUUGGCUUGUUUGUGGGGUAACGGCUCACCAAGGCGACGAUCCCUAGCUGGUCUGAGAGGAUGACCAGCCACACGGGAACUGCGACACGGUCCAGACUCCUACGGUAGGCAGCAGUGGGGAAUAGUGCACAAUGGGCGCAAGGCUGAUGCAGCCAUGCCGCGUGUAUGCAGAAGGCCUUCGGGUUGUAAAGUACUUUCAGCGGGGAGGCGGUACCAGAAGAAGAAGCACCGGCUAACUCCGUGCCAGCAGCCGCGGUAAUAG
rnacentral:rRNA from 1 species